rnacentral:rRNA from 2 species
AAACCAACCGGGAUUGCCUCAGUAACGGCGAGUGAAGCGGCAAAAGCUCAAAUUUGGAAUCUGGCGCCUUUGGCGUCCGAGUUGUAAUUUGAAGACUCUAUCUUGGAAUGCGGCGCUGUUGAAGUUCCUUGGAACAGGACGUCACAGAGGGUGAGAAUCCCGUGCGAUGGCAGCCGCGGACCGUGUAAGUUAGUGUCGACGAGUCGAGUUGUUUGGGAAUGCAGCUCUAAGUGGGUGGUAAACUCCAUCUAAAGCUAAAUAUUGGCGAGAGACCGAUAGCGAACAAGUACAGUGAUGGAAAGAUGAAAAGAACUUUGAAAAGAGAGUGAAAAAGUACGUGAAAUUGUUGAAAGGGAAGGGCUUGAGAUCAGACAUGCCUUCGGGCAGGCCAGCAUCAGCUGGAAGGGGCAGACAAGGGCGCCGCAAUGUGGCCUGGCUUCGGCGAGGUGUUAUAGGCGGCGUCGAUGUGUCCACUUCCGGCUGAGGACCGCGCUUCGGCAAGGAUGCUGGCGUAAUGAUCCCCAGCCGC